rnacentral:rRNA from 1 species
UACGUAGGGUGCGAGCGUUAAUCGGAAUUACUGGGCGUAAAGCGUGCGCAGGCGGUUCGUUAAGUUCGAUGUGAAAGCCCCGGGCUCAACCUGGGAACUGCAUUGGAAACUGGCGAGCUUGAAUGCGGCAGAGGGGGGUGGAAUUCCGCGUGUAGCAGUGAAAUGCGUAGAGAUCGGGAAGAACAUCGGUGGCGAAAGCGCUCUACUGGACCGCAACUGACACUCAGGGACGAAAGCUAGGGGAGCGAAUGGG